rnacentral:rRNA from 1 species
UAGGGAAUCUUCGGCAAUGGGGGCAACCCUGACCGAGCAACGCCGCGUGAGUGAAGAAGGUUUUCGGAUCGUAAAGCUCUGUUGUAAGAGAAGAACGUGUGUGAGAGUGGAAAGUUCACACAGUGACGGUAACUUACCAGAAAGGAACGGCUAACUACGUGCUAG